AAGACUAUAUUUUCAGGGAUCAUUUCUAUAGUUUGUUGUUAGAGAUCUGGUUUUGAACGUGCUUGGUCUUGUUUGGCACAAAGAAGAGACUGAAUGCUUUCUUCUGAGCAUGAAGCAGGUAGUUGACUAUACUUGUAUAGUUUUCUACUAUUGAUGACUGUAUGUGCUAGCCUGUACAGGAAUUAGCAUCAUGAAGAAAGCAUAAUCUGAGUGGU